rnacentral:rRNA from 1 species
UAGCAAGGUUAACCGAAUAGGGGAGCCGGAGGGAAACCGAGUCUUAAUUGGGCGUUAAGUUGCAGGGUAUAGACCCGAAACCCGGUGAUCUAGCCAUGGGCAGGUUGAAGGUUGGGUAACACUAACUGGAGGACCGAACCGACUAAUGUUGAAAAAUUAGCGGAUGACCUGUGGCUGGGGGUGAAAGGCCAAUCAAACCGGGAGAUAGCUGGUUCUCCCCGAAAGCUAUUUAGGUAGCGCCUCGUGAAUUCAUCUCCGGGGGUAGAGCACUGUUUCGGCUAGGGGGCCAUCCCGGCUUACCAACCCGAUGCAAACUGCGAAUACCGGAGAAUGUUAUCACGGGAGACACACGGCGGGUGCUAACGUCCGUCGUGAAGAGGGAAACAACCCAGACCGCCAGCUAAGGUCCCAAAGUCAUGGUUAAGUGGGAAACGAUGUGGGAAGGCCCAGACAGCCAGGAUGUUGGCUUAGAAGCAGCCAUCAUUUAAAGAAAGCGUAAUAGCUCACUGGUCGAGUCGGCCUGCGCGGAAGAUGUAACGGGGCUAAACCAUGCACCGAAGCUGCGGCAGCGACACUGUGUGUUGUUGGGUAGGGGAGCGUUCUGUAAGCCUGCGAAGGUGGCCUGU